rnacentral:rRNA from 1 species
AAUAGAUACCCGGGUAGUCCAUGCCGUAAACGAUGUCUACUAGCCGUUGGGGCCUUUGAGGCUUUAGUGGCGCAGCUAACGCGAUAAGUAGACCGCCUGGGGAGUACGGUCGCAAGACUAAAACUCAAAUGAAUUGACGGGGGCCCGCACAAGCGGUGGAGCAUGUGGUUUAAUUCGAUGCAACGCGAAGAACCUUACCUGGUCUUGACAUAGUAAGAACUUUCCAGAGAUGGAUUGGUGCCUUCGGGAACUUACAUACAGGUGCUGCAUAGCUGUCGUCAGCUCGUGUCGUGAGAUGUUGGGUUAAGUCCCGCAACGAGCGCAACCCUUUUCCUUAUUUGCCAGCGGGUUAAGCCGGGAACUUUAAGGAUACUGCCAGUGACAAACUGGAGGAAGGCGGGGACGACGUCAAGUCAUCAUGGCCCUUACGACCAGGGCUACACACGUGCUACAAUGGUCGGUACAAAGGGUUGCUACCUAGCGAUAGGAUGCUAAUCUCAAAAAGCCGAUCGUAGUCCGGAUUGGAGUCUGCAACUCGACUCC